rnacentral:rRNA from 1 species
CNAAACCCUUCCCAGAGUAUCAAUUGGAGGGCAAGUCUGGUGCCAGCAGCCGCGGUAAUUCCAGCUCCAAUAGCGUAUAUUAAAGUUGUUGCAGUUAAGAAGCUCGUAGUUGAAUUUCUGCCUUGUCAUUAAUCUCGCUUCCGAGCGUUUUUUUAUUGACUUGGCAUCUUCUGGAUUUGGUGCCUUCGGGUACUAUUUUCCAGGAUUUACUUUGAGAAAACUAGAGUGUUUCAAACAGGCAUUCGCCUUGAAUACUACAGCAUGGAAUAAUGAAGUAGGACUUUGGUUCUAUUUUGUUGGUUAUUGAGCCAGAGUAAUGGUUAAUAGGAGCAGUUGGGGGCAUUCGUAUUUA